UAGGGAAUAUUGCAAAAUGGGCGAAAGCCCGAUGCAGCAACGCCGCGUGGGCGAUGAAGGCCUUCGGGUCGUAAAGCCCUUUUUGAGGGGAUGAGGAAGGACAGUACCCUCAGAAUAAGCCUCGGCUAACUACGUGCCAGCAGCCGCGGUAAAACGUAGGAGGCGAGCGUUAUCCGGAUUUACUGGGCGUAAAGCGCGUGCAGGCGGAUUGGAGAGUUGGAUGUGAAAGCUCCCGGCUUAACUGGGAGAGGUCGUUCAAUACUUCCAGUCUUGAGUGCAGUAGAGGGAAGUGGAAUUCCGGGUGUAGUGGCGAAAUGCGUAGAUAUCCGGAGGAACACCAGUGGCGAAAGCGGUUUCCUGGACUGUAACUGACGCUCAGACGCGAAAGCUAGGGUAGCAAACG
rnacentral:rRNA from 1 species